AUGAACGCUGGCGGCGUGCCUAAUACAUGCCAGUCGAGCGAACAGACGAGGAGCUUGCUCCUCUGACGUUAGCGGCGGACGGGUGAGUAACACGUGGAUAACCUACCUAUAAGACUGGGAUAACUUCGGGAAACCGGAGCUAAUACCGGAUAAUAUAUUGAACCGCAUGGUUCCAUAGUGAAAGACGGUUUUGCUGUCACUUAUAGAUGGAUCCGCGCCGCAUUAGCUAGUUGGUAAGGUAACGGCUUACCAAGGCGACGAUGCGUAGCCGACCUGAGAGGGUGAUCGGCCACACUGGAACUGAGACACGGUCCAGACUCCUACGGGAGGCAGCAGUAGGGAAUCUUCCGCAAUGGGCGAAAGCCUGACGGAGCAACGCCGCGUGAGUGAUGAAGGUCUUCGGAUCGUAAAACUCUGUUAUUAGGGAAGAACAAAUGUGUAAGUAACUAUGCACGUCUUGACGGUACCUAAUCAGAAAGCCACGGCUAACUACGUG
rnacentral:rRNA from 1 species